AGCGAACGCUGGCGGCAUGCUUAACACAUGCAAGUCGCACGGGCAGGGGCAACUCUGUCAGUGGCGGACGGGUGAGGAACACGUAGGAACGUAUCCUGAGGUGGGGAAUAACGCCGGGAAACUGGCGCUAAUACCGCAUGGGAGCUGAGGCUCAAAGCCGCGAGGCGCCUUGGGAGCGGCCUGCGUCCGAUUAGCUAGUUGGUGGGGUAAUGGCCUACCAAGGCUGCGAUCGGUAGCUGGUCUGAGAGGACGAUCAGCCACACUGGGACUGAGACACGGCCCAGGCUCCUACGGGAGGCAGCAGUGGGGAAUAUUGCACAAUGGGCGCAAGCCUGAUGCAGCAACGCCGCGUGCGGGAUGACGGCCUUCGGGUUGUAAACCGCUUUUAGUAGGGAAGAAGCCUUCGGGUGACGGUACCCGCAGAAAAAGGACCGGCUAACUACGUGCCAGCCGCCGCGGUAAUAC
rnacentral:rRNA from 1 species